rnacentral:rRNA from 1 species
AUUGAACGCUGGCGGCAGGCCUAACACAUGCAAGUCGGGCGGAUGAAGGGAGCUUGCUCCUGGAUUCAGCGGCGGACGGGUGAGUAAUGCCUAGGAAUCUGCCUGGUAGUGGGGGAUAACGUCCGGAAACGGGCGCUAAUACCGCAUACGUCCUGAGGGAGAAAGUGGGGGAUCUUCGGACCUCACGCUAUCAGAUGAGCCUAGGUCGGAUUAGCUAGUUGGUGGGGUAAAGGCCUACCAAGGCGACGAUCCGUAACUGGUCUGAGAGGAUGAUCAGUCACACUGGAACUGAGACACGGUCCAGACUCCUACGGGAGGCAGCAGUGGGGAAUAUUGGACAAUGGGCGAAAGCCUGAUCCAGCCAUGCCGCGUGUGUGAAGAAGGUCCUCGGAUUGUAAAGCACUUUAAGUUGGGAGGAAGGGCAGUAAGUUAAUACCUUGCUGUUUUGACGUUACCAACAGAAUAAGCACCGGCUAACUUCGUG